AUUGAACGCUGGCGGCAGGCUUAACACAUGCAAGUCGAGCGGAGAUGAGGUGCUUGCACCUUAUCUUAGCGGCGGACGGGUGAGUAAUGCUUAGGAAUCUGCCUAUUAGUGGGGGACAACAUUCCGAAAGGAAUGCUAAUACCGCAUACGUCCUACGGGAGAAAGCAGGGGAUCUUCGGACCUUGCGCUAAUAGAUGAGCCUAAGUCGGAUUAGCUAGUUGGUGGGGUAAAGGCCUACCAAGGCGACGAUCUGUAGCGGGUCUGAGAGGAUGAGCCGCCACACUGGGACGUAGACACGGCCCGGACUCCUACGGGAGGCAGCAGUGGGGAAUAUUGGACAAUGGGGGGAACCCUGAUCCAGCCAUGCCGCGUGUGUGAAGAAGGCCUUAUGGUUGUAAAGCACUUUAAGCGAGGAGGAGGCUACUGAGACUAAUACUCUUGGAUAGUGGACGUUACUCGCAGAAUAAGCACCGGCUAACUCUGUGCCAGCAGCCGCCGUAACAC
rnacentral:rRNA from 1 species